UUGCACGCUGGCGGCAUGCUUUACACAUGCAAGUCGAACGGCAGCGCGGGCUUCGGCCUGGCGGCGAGUGGCGAACGGGUGAGUAAUACAUCGGAACGUGCCCAGUAGUGGGGGAUAGCUCGGCGAAAGCCGGAUUAAUACCGCAUACGACCUGAGGGUGAAAGCGGGGGACCUUCGGACCUCGCGCUAUUGGAGCGGCCGAUGGCAGAUUAGCUAGUUGGUGGGGUAAAGGCCUACCAAGGCGACGAUCUGUAGCUGGUCUGAGAGGACGACCAGCCACACUGGGACUGAGACACGGCCCAGACUCCUACGGGAGGCAGCAGUGGGGAAUUUUGGACAAUGGGCGAAAGCCUGAUCCAGCAAUGCCGCGUGUGUGAUGAAGGCCUUCGGGUUGUAAAGCACUUUUGGCGGGAACGAAAAGGACUGUGCCAAUACCACGGUUCGAUGACGGUACCCGCAGAAUAAGCACCGGCUAACUACGUG
rnacentral:rRNA from 1 species